CCUACGGGAGGCAGCAGUCGAGAAUCAUUCACAAUGGGGGAAACCCUGAUGGUGCGACGCCGCGUGGGGGAAUGAAGGUCUUCGGAUUGUAAACCCCUGUCAUGUGGGAGCAAAUUAAAAAGAUAGUACCACAAGAGGAAGAGACGGCUAACUCUGUGCCAGCAGCCGCGGUAAUACAGAGGUCUCAAGCGUUGUUCGGAAUCACUGGGCGUAAGGCGUGCGUAGGCUGUUUCGUAAGUCGUGUGUGAAAGGCGCGGGCUCAACCCGCGGACGGCACAUGAUACUGCGAGACUAGAGUAAUGGAGGGGGAACCGGAAUUCUCGGUGUAGCAGUGAAAUGCGUAGAUAGCGAGAGGAACACUCGUGGCGAAGGCGGGUUCCUGGACAUUAACUGACGCUGAGGCACGAAGGCCAGGGGAGCGAAAGGGAUUAGAUACCCUAGUAGUC
rnacentral:rRNA from 1 species